rnacentral:lncRNA from 1 species
UGGCAGCCUGUGCUCUGGGAAACACAGCACUCCGGAGCUGUUUGGGAAAUUUUCUCCUGCUGUAGGCAGUGUUCCCAUGAGGAGAUGGCUGUUCAUUACCUGACCAAGAAUAGUUCAGCAUGGAGCAGGACCAGAAAAGACUCUGAGAUAAAGAUUUUCAACACUUAAGGGGAAGGAUUUAGGACAUUUAUUGCCUUAACUGUUUGACUGGAGGUCCCUUUCAUGGCUUGACAGUGCUGUGCUGGUAAAAUGUUCUUCCACCUCCUUAGCACACAGUCGAGUAUGUAAAUAAGUGUGUAAGUGAAUAAAUAAACAAAUAAAUAAAGUUUGCCUAAUAAA